GCGUCUGACUACGGAUCAGAAGAUUCCAGGGAGGGUUGAGGAAAUCGCAGAGAUCCAGGGAAGUUCAAUGGAAUCGCUUUAGCCUGGAACAGCUGAUCCAAAUAUGAAGCAGGUUACCUGUCAAUCUGAUUCAUGAAAAUAAUUUCGGUACUGGUGAAGACCAGGCAGCUAUUAACAGAUACAAAAUAGUGCCUAGCUGCUUCCCUCUCGGAAUACAUUCUGUUGAAGGUCAGUCGCUUUGGAAUGGGGUUGUAGAGAGGAGGUAGCGAAGAGGGAAUAAUGAGGAUCCUUCCUCUCCCAACUCCUCAUUAAGGAACUCUGAUCAAGGUCCAGUGAAGAACUCCAUGAUCCUAGAGCCAAAGCCGCUCAAUGAUCUCUUGGUGAUCACUGGUUGACUUCCAGUGCCACACUGCAGAAUUGAACCACCGAGGGAUCUGCUGACUCUUCUAAAAUCACUACAGUGUCACUACCACAGCACUACAGCAUCACUGCCACAAC
rnacentral:lncRNA from 1 species